UCCGGGACAACCUUGGGAAACCGAGGCUAAUACCGGAUACUCCUCGCCCCCCUCCUGGGGGGCCCGGGAAAGCCCAGACGGCAAGGGAUGGGGUCGCGGCCCAUUAGGUAGUAGGCGGGGUAACGGCCCACCUAGCCCGCGAUGGGUAGCCGGGUUGAGAGACCGACCGGCCACAUUGGGACUGAGAUACGGCCCAGACUCCUACGGGAGGCAGCAUG
rnacentral:rRNA from 1 species